CCUCCUCCUGCGUUGCGCGGAGUAACUUCAGCGUCCCCGAAGGCCACCUCUCUGGCCUCGGCCAGGGGCCGAAGCGGGGUCCGCUGCGCAGGAGGCGGCAACUUUGGCUGAUGCUGACUCAGCCCAGCGCCCCCUCUUUAUCCCACUUAAAAACGGAGAAAUGGCCUCCGAGAGGAAGAAGUGAAACAGAACGCUCUAUCCUUCUGAUCUUCACUCAAAAGCAGCCGCAGGAGCUCUUGCUAUCUCGCUCUGGUGCAGCGUUUUUCCCUCCUCCCCCACUUUCCCACAUGCCCAGAGGCAAAGUGGCUGGCCAACGUCUGAGGGAUGGGGUCUCACUGUGUUGUCCAGGCGGGCCUCGAACUCCUGGGCUCAAGUGAUCCUCCUGCCUUAGCUCCUAAAGUGCUGGGACUACAGGCAUGAGCCACCACAUCCGGCCCACUGCUAGUACUAUUGUUAACAAUCUUCCAUGCCAGAAAAAAUGAAAUAAAGACUAAUGACAGAGAGUCACAUCAGGAAGUUAAAGUAAGAAGGAAAUCACCUGGAGAAAGCAAGACAAGAUAAAGGGAAAAAUUGAGACAGAAGAAAGGAACUUUUUAAGAGGAAAGAAGUCGCUGGGUGCCACCCUCUCCAUCUCACCAAACUACAAAAGUGAAGAAGCCACUGGGAGCCACUCGCUCUCACUCGCCAAAUCAUGGGAUUAAAGAAGCUGCAACAUUUCUGGGGGCUCGUCCAGGUCCUCAGAAGGAUGGGUAACAAACUGUUUUCAGCCUGCACUCCUCUAGAGUGCAUCCUGAAUCACUGGGAAUCCUUUGACCUGCAGAUUCUGAAGGAAACAAAUGCCAUAUAUUCCUUUUCACAAGGCCUUGGCCAGGUUAUAAGCAGCAGGACGGAGAAGCCUGGCCUUUGGAGGGAAGUAUCAACAUUAAUAUUAUCCUGCAACUGGACCAUUUCUGUAAAAAUGGAGGCAAAUGGUCUCAGGCCCCAUACAUGCAGGCUUUCUUUGCCUUGCAGUAUAAUCUGGACUUUUGCUGAUGUUGCAGGAGAAGCUGCAAAGAACAGUCCCAACUGGCCAGGGAAGUAAACCCCAGAGGUGCCUCCAUCAGGGGGAUCAGAACCCUCCAGUCCCUACUCCUCUUGGUCCAUCAUGUCCUCCCUAUCCAGGUUCUCUCCCAAGCUUGUCCUCUCCUAGGAAUUCUCAUUCUAGGCAGGUCCCAACCUCACUCAUGCCCCAACAAGAGAUGCCUUGUGAAUAUGACCCCAUUAAGGUCCAGAUCACCUUUUCUUUACAUGACUUAAGACAAAUUAAGGGGAAUUUUGUUAGUUUUCAGAUGACCCUAAAAGGCAUAUAGAGGCUUUCCAAAAUUUAACCCAAGCAUUUGAACUCUCCUGGAAGGAUGCUGUUAUUUUUUAAAUC
rnacentral:lncRNA from 13 species